GCUUUGUUUACUGAUUUAGUUAUAUGGAGCCUCAUCUUUUUGCCUGCAUGCAGAUCAUUAGGCAAGAAAAACACAAUUGAGUUAGAGCGAGCAUGCUUGUUGAAUUUAAGCUCAUAGCGCUUUCCAUAUUUCACUUUCGGAACAUCAGCAGUAUCCUCUGCAGUGGCUUGUUCAAAUUCCUUCUCAUAUCUCUUGCCAUAUUUCACGCCAUAUUUCACUUUCGGAACAUCAGCAGUAUCCUCUGCAGUGGCUUGUUCAAAUUCCUUCUCAUAUCUCUUGCCAUAUUUCACGCCAUAUUUCACUUUCGGGACAUCAGCAGUAUCCUCUGCAGUGGCUUGUUCAAAUUUCUUCUCAUAUCUCUUGCCAUAUUCCAUGUUCCAAAAGAUAUAUUUGUCUCCCACAUCUGUUUUGAAUUAAAAAAAACAAAU
rnacentral:lncRNA from 1 species